GGACAAUGAGACUGAGGCGCGUGCACGAGGCGACACCAUGUUUUUAUUUUCUCUGUCUUUGAACGUAAACAGGGUUUCCCGGUCGGAAUAUUAUCGCUUUUUUACGAGAAAAAUCGCAUAAAAAUUGAUUUUAAACAGCGGUUGACAUGCUUCGAAGUACGGUAAUGGAAUAUUUAGAUUUUUUUUGUCACGAAACGUGUCGGGCGCAUCACCCUUCGUCACCCUUCGGAUAGUGUCUUGAACGCACGAACAAAACAGAGGAUAUUUGAAUAUAACUAUGGAUUAUUUUGAACCAAACCAACAUUUGUUAUUGAAGUAGAAGUCCUGGGAGUGCAUUCUGACGAAGAACAGCAAAGGCAGCCACCUGUUCCUGAGGACAGAUUGAAGACUCUACCAGGGGUACUCCUGAUCCUGGUUGUCUCCAGGUACCCAGGGGGCCCAGUGGAAAGAGCAUCUUACUGGAGACUGGGGUCUGGAGCCAGGGCCAUCUGACCAGUCAGUUUCCUCAGGGUUGACAGUGGCACUUCCUGUCCUGUCAAAAUAAGGUUCCACCUUGUCCUGGAUGGAACUCCCAGAGGGAUUCUUCAAAGUAGCCACCCUUUGCCUUGAUGACAGCUUUGCAAACUCUUGGCAUUCUCUCAACCAGCUUCACCUGGAAUGCUUUUCCAACAGCCUUCAAGGAGUUCCUGUGACGUCUACACCUGCUCCCCCUCUCCGGGGCUCUACAUCGCCAGUUUAUUCAUUAUUACGCACACCUGCCACCAUCGAAACGUGCACCUGCGCCUCUUGAGAUUUUACUCGUGUUCUUGUUUUGUCCUAUGUUCCGCUAUUUAUUAAAUUCACUCCCUGUACUUGCUUCCCAAUUCUUAGCAUACAUGUAACAGUUCCCACAUAUCCUGGGCAUUUGUUGGCUGCUUUUCCUUCACUCUGCG
rnacentral:lncRNA from 1 species